CAGAAAACAGAGAUAAUUCCUCUUACGUGAGCACUGGAACUAGCAGCAGGAAGGAAAAUAAAUAUUUGGACAGAUUCUAAAUAUGCAUUCGGUGUGGUGCAUGCUCAUGGAGCGAUUUGGAAAGAACAAAUUUUAAAAUUGUUAGAGGUGGUAAAACAACCAGAAAAGGUAGCUAUCAUGCAUUGUCGGGGACACCAAAAGGGGAACACCGAUUUUGAAAUUGGAAAUCGAUUGGCAGAUCAAGAGGCUAAGCGGGUAGCUG